GACAGAGGGUGCAAACGUUGUUCGGAAUUACUGGGCAUAAAGCGCACGUAGGUGGUCCGCUAAGUCGCGUGUGAAAUCCCCCGGCUCAACCGGGGAAAUGCGCGUGAUACUGGCGGGCUUGAGAUCGGGAGGGGUGAAUGGAACUCCAGGUGGAGCGGUGAAAUGCGUAGAUAUCAGGAGGAACACCGAUGGCGAAGGCAGCUCACUGGGACGGUACUGACGCUGAGGCGCGAAAGCGUGGGGAGCAAACAGG
rnacentral:rRNA from 1 species